ensembl:lncRNA
CUUGAAAGUCAUCAAGAAGGUAUUUCAGUGUCCACAAACUCCCAGCACAUGAGAGCUGAAGUGGUAGAGGAGUGAAAUCUGAGCGUGCUGGAGCAGAAGAGACAUGACCAAGGCUCACGGAGUGAGCUCGCCACUGUGGUGACAAUAGCCAUACAGUUUGGAUUAAAGUGUUUUAGUAUUUAUGGUAUCAGAUUAGAUAAAGACACACCAAAAAUAAAAGGGUGAGAUUAAUGUUCUAAAAUAUCUUUUUCCUUCCCGAUAGCAUUACAAAAUGGAAAUAAGGGACGAAUUAUUUCCCAUGAGACGUGUUACAAAGAAGAAUGCACAUCUCUGGAACGUGCCACUGCAUAUUCCCUGUACAAAAGUCCAAAAGAAGUGAGGACACGACCUGUUGAGUGGCAGAAGCACUGCGAGAUCAUAAUACGUAGCUGCUGGUGGACAGAAAGAAGGAUGAGUCAGGUGUGCAUUGUUUCCACUCGGAGAGGGCUGUCAUACGGGUGUGCCACUGCCUGCUGCUGAAGGAAAGUGUCCCAGUUUUCAACAUGAGCACUUGGUCUGAAUAAUCGCACGUGGCUUCUAUUGAGGAGAAGUAACACUGAUCCCAGUAGGAAAGGCAGAAGUGACUAACACUGAAACAGAAGAGGAGAAAAAAGGAUACAAAUAACAGACCUUUACAGUUCCACUCCGGGGAAGGCUCUAGUUAUGAUACAAAUGAUACAUUUGUGUGUCUGUGACAGUGAAUUAAAAAUGAGAGGGAUAAGCUUGCUGUUGAAAUGAGACUGCACUGCGGUGCUGCUCAUUAGCUCCCACAUGAAGCUGGCAGUCCUCCGAACAACCUUGCUUACCCCUAAAGGGGUGAGUGGCUUCUUCACCAGUUAACACUGGAAGCAGAGGGGCCUCCCGGAACAUGUGGUGUGGAUUUGGCAGUGUGAGCACUGUCCUGAGGCAGGCAGCAGGUAUCGCACGUGGCCGUGUGUCUCACAGAAUCACAGGGGUUGGAAGAGACCUUGAGAGAUCAUCAAGACCAACCCCAUGGCUAAGGCAAGUUCUCUACAGUAGGUCACACAGGCAGGUGUCCAGAUGAGUCUUAAAUAUCUGCGUAGAAAGAGACUCUACAACCUCUCUGGGCAGCCUGUUCUAGUGCUCUGUCACCAUGUUUGUAUGGAACUUCCUAUAUUCGAGUUUUAGGCCGUUACUUCCUCCUCCCUCCCCUCUUCCUGGCUCCUUUUCGUCUACUGGGAAAAGUACAGGUAGGCAGAUAAUGCAAGUCAUUGGCAAGUUAUACUGAUGUUACCAGUGGAAUGAGGAAAGGUUGAGCCACUUUUCCUCUGCAGACUGCUCUCGGUUAAUGUGCUCAUCAGCCCCAAUGGCCGGCUUUUUAGAUGCUCCUGAUCAGCUGUUUCCUUUCUUUUAGCCCACAGAAUAGUUCCUUUUCAAAGCAAACUAAAGUUGCCCUCUUAUCUUCGGGAAUCUCUCUCGGCCAUCCUGAUAAAAUGGCAAUGCUAAAGAAGUUCCAGCCAUAAAGGACUGCCCAUUUGGGGCCUAAAAACUCCUUGGGCUUCUCUGCAGCCUUUCUAUGAAUUUCUUUCAAAAACACUGUUUUUUUUUUUGCCAGGAUCAGUUCCGCAUUUACUCGUGUAUAAUUUUCUAAGCUUUGUUUUGUAUUUGUUAGCUUAGUCUUCCUGAGAACUGCUAAGCUCCAGUGCAGAGGAUAUAUCAUUCCUUAAAUUUAAAAAAUUCUGUUGAGAGCCCUCUUGUACAAAACAGCAGAGGAAAGGCUGAUCCAUGUUCUACGUCUUGCCAUUACUUGUUCUACUCAGUCACAUGUUUCUCUUCUACUGUCCUUGAUGCAGCUAUCUCUGAAUCUUUACAAAUCUCUACCAUAUUUAAUUAACACAUAAAUGAAGGAUGCUCUAGGGUUGAGGGCACGGAAAUCACUUUGUGUUGCUGUUUCCAAAUGCCACUGACCUGGAAUUAGGAGUUAGGGCACAUGUUUUGAGGUGAAAUCCAGGCUGGAUGUGGCUCUGGGCAGCCCGGUCUGGUGGUUGGCGACCCUGCACAUAGCAGGGGGAUUGAAACUCGAUGAUCACUGUGGUCCUUUUCAACCCAGGCCGUUGUGUGAUUCUACGAUUCUAUGAAAUGGACAGGACUUGCCAUAAGCAGUUUGUGAAUUGAGAAUUAUUCAUAACCACUGUGUUAGGAGUAAACAAAACAAAUAAUGAAUUUUGGAAAACCAUGAAUAGAUCUAGGGCAGUCUGCAAACGUAUACAGACGCAAAAUAU